rnacentral:rRNA from 2 species
UUUAUGGAGAGUUUGAUCCUGGCUCAGGAUGAACGCUGGCGGCGUGCCUAAUACAUGCAAGUCGAGCGAACGGACGAGAAGCUUGCUUCUCUGAUGUUAGCGGCGGACGGGUGAGUAACACGUGGAUAACCUACCUAUAAGACUGGGAUAACUUCGGGAAACCGUAGCUAAUACCGGAUAAUAUUUUGAACCGCAUGGUUCAAAAGUGAAAGACGGUCUUGCUGUCACUUAUAGAUGGAUCCGCGCUGCAUUAGCUAGUUGGUAAGGUAACGGCUUACCAAGGCAACGAUGCAUAGCCGACCUGAGAGGGUGAUCGGCCACACUGGAACUGAGACACGGUCCAGACUCCUACGGGAGGCAGCAGUAGGGAAUCUUCCGCAAUGGGCGAAAGCCUGACGGAGCAACGCCGCGUGAGUGAUGAAGGUCUUCGGAUCGUAAAACUCUGUUAUUAGGGAAGA